rnacentral:rRNA from 1 species
GACGAACGCUGGCGGCGUGCUUAACACAUGCAAGUCGAGCGGUAAGGCCCUUUCGGGGUACACGAGCGGCGAACGGGUGAGUAACACGUGGGUGACCUGCCUUUAGCUCUGGGAUAAGCCUGGGAAACUGGGUCUAAUACCGGAUAUGACUCCAUGAUGCAUGUUGUGGGGUGGAAANCCUUGUGCGGCUGGAGAUGGGCCCGCGG